UGAUUUUCCAUGGGGAAAAAAGCAAAACCAAAAAGCACCAUGGUGCUUUUAGAGGCAGAGAUGUCACCUUUCUUUGCAGCUUCCCCAGCCAGCUCGGGGACUAGGACUUCCCAGUUCCUUCUCUUCUUGAAGUCUGGUUAACCUGCUGCUGACCCCGCUGCAACCCAGGCCAGCAAGAAAGAAAGCAGUAUAUUUUCACUAAAAAAGAAAAAGGGAAAAAAAAGUUAGACUACUCACAAAGUACUAUACUUGAGAUAUGUUAUAGGUUUUAAUCACCUCUGAGGCCCUAACCUCUGUUUGUGUUAUUAUUUCAAGAGGAAGAAGAUUUUUCCAAACAAAUUUUAUAUAAAAUAUAUUAGGCAGAUCUGUAUUCUAUACUGUCAUAUUUGAAGAUAAAUUUGCAUAUUUAAACAUGAUUCUAAGGGGAAAAUAACCUGCUGAGUAUUGCUGCAUUGGUGUGUUGCAUAUAAAAAAUUACGUUUGCACUUUACAAUUUAUUUACAAAUUAACUUUUCACUGAGAUGGGGCAUGAAGAUCAUCAAAAGUAAUAAUUAAAGAAUGAAUUGUGGAUAAUGGACAUGUACAAACCCAAGACAUUAUCCAUCAAAAGGAUUAAAGUUGAGGGUCAGAGGUAGAAAAUUCACAGCUGUGUUGCCUUCUUCAAACCCCAAGAAAGUCAAACUGGCUCGAGUAACCCCUGCUCUGCUGGACCCAGAGGGGUUCCUGCAUGUAAAAGAAUAACUCCUAAGGAACAAAGAUUCUCUCUUAUUUCCUAUUAUCCAGCAGCUCCUGGCCAGAGCUAAGCCUAUUAAUUUUUGGACUAAAAAUAAAUAUGCUUUGAGAACAAAUCAUUGUGUUUUUCCUCCCUCUUGUAAUCUGAAAAUAUGUACCAGGAUGGGAGGUACUGAGCAGAAUACUUAACUGCCUCAAAUCUGUUACUAACCAGGUACAGUGAGAGGGGAACUCCCCAUCUGCCUGUGACUCUCUGACUCCUUUUUCCAUGAA